ensembl:lncRNA
CCUCUCUGUCCUCCUGGCUCUGGAGAGUGGACUGGAUCAGACCAUCAUCUCCCCCGCCGGAGAGAGAGCAGAAAUAGGCAGACAGACUGACAGCUGGCCCCUGGACUCGAGGCAGAAAGGCCCUUCUCACUUCUGGACUACCAGCCCAGGGGAGGACUCCAGGGUGAAUGGCCUUCAAGGUUCACCCUUCACUGACGCAGAAGCUCCCAGAACACUCAGGAAACCUCUCCAGACAGAGCCCUCUUUGUCAACCCGAGACCCAUCCCAAGGCCUCUACUGCCCUCUGGGUCCAGCAGAGGGGGUGGAGGAGGGGCCACGCCUUCCUACCUAGAGCUUCUUCGAAUGACAAUCAGCUCGUGCCAGGUGGGGACCAGGGCAUGACCCCUGGUGCCCAGGUCCUGGGCCUGCUCCUUGCCACCAACCGAACCGUGAAUGUAGGGCCCCCCAGCCUCACCCCUGCCCCAGGACCAACAACACCCUGGUUUGGUGUUGGGAGGAAAAAGGGGGCGGCCUGAGAGAGCCCCAAACCCAUCCCACACUCUAGCUUCACCCAGCACUCGAGCUGGGCAGAGACACAAAACCCUGUCUGCCCUUGGGAUUCCGGACCUCCCUAGGGCUCCCAACUGACCUCAGGCCUCUGCGUCAUUGAAUGUCACCGAGGUAGGGGAGGAGGGGAUGGGGCAAGUGUGUGGGGGAGCUAGGGUACUGACUCUGCCCCUCCCCGCCCCCCUCGGAAGGGUCUAGGGCAGAGGAAAACACACCUUCCAGUGCCCCCACCUCCCACUGCAGUCUCCUCCCGCUUGGGCACCCAUUCCUGCCCACCAAGCCCUCCCAGUCCUGAGCCCCUUCUCUAUAAAAGAGUGUCACACCACCACCACACCCUCCAGCAUUUCCCCAUCGCCACAGCCUGUGUCACUGGCUCAGAUGCAGGUCUGCUCACCCCAGAACAUGCCUCCCCUCCCCAGCGCACUGUGCACGAAGAGGGUGCAGUCACUGCAUGGCCUCUGCCCACCUUGCACCUGUCCAUCCCCACCCCAGCACCCUGGAAGCCGCUGUCAUGAUUAGAUCGGGUCUCGGAAGGGAAGUAGCCAUCACACCAUUAAAAAGCCUGUGGACCUUU